UACGGAGGGGGCUAGCGUUGUUCGGAAUUACUGGGCGUAAAGCGCACGUAGGCGGACUGUUAAGUCGGGGGUGAAAUCCUGGGGCUCAACCUCAGAAUUGCCUCCGAUACUGGCAGUCUCGAGUGCGGGAGAGGUGAGUGGAAUUCCCAGUGUAGAGGUGAAAUUCGUAGAUAUUCGCAAGAACACCAGUGGCGAAGGCGGCUCACUGGCCCGAUACUGACGCUGAGGCACGAAAGCGUGGGGAGCAAACAGGGAAUUAGAAACCCUGGUAACGUCCG
rnacentral:rRNA from 1 species